GGGGCUGACCGGUUUUGACAGCAAGUUGAGUGGAUAAGUAAGCAUGUCGAGCCUUGUGAUUAAGCUCGUUAAUCCGUGUCACAUACUUUAUAAUUGGCGAAAAUAAUUACGCUCUCGCAGCAUAAUCGAAGUUUAGUAGAUUAGCUUUAUCCCUGGUCUAGGUUACCGGGGACGGGACGGUUCGCGGGUGGACAUGUUUGAUUCCGGCCCGGUUACGGAUCGCAAGCAACUUCAAACUGGUUCCGGCUUUGCCUUGAAGCCGGGACGAGAUUAAAGAGGCUAAGACAAAGUUUUGGGCGUUUGCUCCCGCACUUUGUACGAAAACCAAUAGCAAACUAAGCAUGUAGAAGGCUUAUGUGUUCCUUGUUUGGACGAGGGUUCGAAUCCCUCCAGCUCCACAA
rnacentral:tmRNA from 1 species